rnacentral:rRNA from 1 species
GAGUUUGAUCCUGGCUCAGAACGAACGCUGGCGGCAUGCCUAACACAUGCAAGUCGAACGGGAUCCUGGCUUCGGCCAGGUGAGAGUGGCGGACGGGUGAGUAACGCGUGGGAACCUGCCCAAUGGUCUGGGAUAACCGCGGGAAACUGCGGCUAAUACCGGAUAAGCCCGAGAGGGGAAAGAUUUAUCGCCGAUGGAGGGGCCCGCGUCCGAUUAGGUAGUUGGUGAGGUAACGGCUCACCAAGCCGACGAUCGGUAGCUGGUCUGAGAGGACGAUCAGCCACACUGGGACUGGGACACGGCCCAGACUCCUACGGGAGGCAGCAGUGGGGAAUAUUGGACAAUGGGGGCAACCCUGAUCCAGCCAUGCCGCGUGAGUGAUGAAGGCCUUCGGGUUGUAAAG